rnacentral:rRNA from 1 species
AUUGAACGCUGGCGGCAUGCCUUACACAUGCAAGUCGAACGGUAACAGGUCUUCGGAUGCUGACGAGUGGCGAACGGGUGCGUAAUACAUCGGAACGUGCCCGAUCGUGGGGGAUAACGAAGCGAAAGCUUUGCUAAUACCGCAUACGAUCUACGGAUGACAGCAGGGGACCGCAAGGCCUUGCGCGAACGGAGCGGCCGAUGGCAGAUUAGGUAGUUGGUGGGAUAAAAGCUUACCAAGCCGACGAUCUGUAGCUGGUCUGAGAGGACGACCAGCCACACUGGGACUGAGACACGGCCCAGACUCCUACGGGAGGCAGCAGUGGGGAAUUUUGGACAAUGGGCGAAAGCCUGAUCCAGUCAUGCCGCGUGCAGGAUGAAGGCCUUCGGGUUGUAAACUGCUUUUGUACGGAAAGAAAAGACUCUGGUUAAUACCUGGGGUCCAUGACGGUACCGUAAGAAUAAGCACCGGCUAACUACGUG